CAUGCAAGUCGAGCGGUGAAGUCCCUUCGGGGGCGGAUCAGCGGCGAACGGGUGAGUAACACGUGGGCAACCUGCCCUCAGCACUGGGAUAACCCCGAGAAAUCGGGGCUAAUACCGGAUAUGACCUCCGACGGCAUCAUCGGUGGUGGAAAGCUCCGGCGGCUGAGGAUGGGCCCGCGGCCUAUCAGCUUGUUGGUGGGGUCACGGCCCACCAAGGCGACGACGGGUAGCCGGCCUGAGAGGGCGACCGGCCACACUGGGACUGAGACACGGCCCAGACUCCUACGGGAGGCAGCAGUGGGGAAUAUUGCGCAAUGGGCGAAAGCCUGACGCAGCGACGCCGCGUGAGGGAUGAAGGCCUUCGGGUUGUAAACCUCUUUCAGCAGGGACGAAGCGAAAGUGACUGUACCUGCAGAAGAAGCACCGGCUAACUACGUGCCGGCAGCCGCGGUAAUACGUAGGGUGCGAGCGUUGUCCGGAAUUAUUGGGCGUAAAGAGCUCGUAGGUGGUCUGUCACGUCGGAUGUGAAAACUCGGGGCUCAACCCCGAG
rnacentral:rRNA from 1 species